rnacentral:rRNA from 1 species
AGAGUUUGAUCCUGGCUCAGGACGAACGCUGGCGGCGUGCCUAAUACAUGCAAGUAGGACGCACAGUUUAUACCGUAGCUUGCUACACCAUAGACUGUGAGUUGCGAACGGGUGAGUAACGCGUAGGUAACCUACCUAUUAGAGGGGGAUAACUAUUGGAAACGAUAGCUAAUACCGCAUAACAGUAUGUAACACAUGUUAGAUGCUUGAAAGAUGCAAUUGCAUCGCUAGUAGAUGGACCUGCGUUGUAUUAGCUAGUAGGUAGGGUAAUGGCCUACCUAGGCAACGAUACAUAGCCGACCUGAGAGGGUGAUCGGCCACACUGGGACUGAGACACGGCCCAGACUCCUACGGGAGGCAGCAGUAGGGAAUCUUCGGCAAUGGGGGGAACCCUGACCGAGCAACGCCGCGUGAGUGAAGAAGGUUUUCGGAUCGUAAAGCUCUGUUGUUAAGGAAGAACGAGUGUGAGAAUGGAAAGUUCAUGCUGUGACGGUACUUAACCAGAAAGGGACGGCUAACUGCGUGCCAGCAGCCGCGGUAAUACGUAGGUCCCGAGCGUUGUCCGGAUUUAUUGGGCGUAAAGCGAGCGCAGGCGGUUAGAAAAGUCUGAAGUGAAAGGCAGUGGCUCAACCAUUGUAGGCUUUGGAAACUGUUUAACUUGAGUGCAGAAGGGGAGAGUGGAAUUCCAUGUGUAGCGGUGAAAUGCGUAGAUAUAUGGAGGAACACCGGUGGCGAAAGCGGCUCUCUGGUCUGUAACUGACGCUGAGGCUCGAAAGCGUGGGGAGCGAACAGGGUUAGAUACCCUGGUAGUC